rnacentral:rRNA from 1 species
CGAACGCUGGCGGCGUGCUUAACACAUGCAAGUCGACCGGAAAGGCCCUGCUUGCAGGGUACUCGAGUGGCGAACGGGUGAGUAACACGUGGGUGAUCUGCCCUGCACUUCGGGAUAAGCCUGGGAAACUGGGUCUAAUACCGGAUAGGAGCCAUUUUUAGUGUGAUGGUUGGAAAGUUUUUUCGGUGUAGGAUGAGCUCGCGGCCUAUCAGCUUGUUGGUGGGGUAAUGGCCUACCAAGGCGGCGACGGGUAGCCGGCCUGAGAGGGUGGACGGCCACAUUGGGACUGAGAUACGGCCCAGACUCCUACGGGAGGCAGCAGUGGGGAAUAUUGCACAAUGGGCGCAAGCCUGAUGCAGCGACGCCGCGUGGGGGAUGACGGCCUUCGGGUUGUAAACUCCUUUCGCUAGGGACGAAGCUUUUUGUGACGGUACCUAGAUAAGAAGCACCGGCUAACUACGU